UACGAAGGGUGCAAGCGUUGCUCGGAAUUAUUGGGCGUAAAGCGCACGUAGGCGGCUUUGCAAGUCCCAUGUGAAAGCCCACGGCUUAACCGUGGAAGUGCAUGGGAAACUGCAGAGCUUGAGUACUUAAGAGGAUCGCGGAAUUCCCGGUGUAGAGGUGAAAUUCGUAGAUAUCGGGAGGAACACCAGUGGCGAAGGCGGCGAUCUGGGAAGAUACUGACGCUGAGGUGCGAAAGCGUGGGGAGCAAACAGG
rnacentral:rRNA from 1 species